GAUGAACGCUGGCGGCGUGCCUAAUACAUGCAAGUCGAGCGAACGGACGAGAAGCUUGCUUCUCUGAUGUUAGCGGCGGACGGGUGAGUAGCACGUGGAUAACCUACCUAUAAGACUGGGAUAACUUCGGGAAACCGUAGCUAAUACCGGAUAAUAUUUUGAACCGCAUGGUUCAAAAGUGAAAGACGGUCUUGCUGUCACUUAUAGAUGGAUCCGCGCUGCAUUAGCUAGUUGGUAAGGUAACGGCUUACCAAGGCAACGAUGCAUAGCCGACCUGAGAGGGUGAUCGGCCACACUGGAACUGAGACACGGUCCAGACUCCUACGGGAGGCAGCAGUAGGGAAUCUUCCGCAAUGGGCGAAAGCCUGACGGAGCAACGCCGCGUGAGUGAUGAAGGUCUUCGGAUCGUAAAACUCUGUUAUUAGGGAAGAACAUAUGUGUAAGUAACUGUGCACAUCUUGACGGUACCUAAUCAGAAAGCCACGGCUAGCUACGUG
rnacentral:rRNA from 1 species